rnacentral:lncRNA from 1 species
UUUAGAUCCACACCUGCUUAAUUAUUUCCCAAGCUAAAAAGAAAAUACCUAACCCUAGAACAAAUGCACAAUAGACCCCUGGAACUAAUGUAUUAGGGACCCGGAGCUGUCAUCACUCACUUACAAUCACGUUUUCCCCCUGCUCGUGAGGUGCACACCUGUGGUUUGCUGGCAGUGCUUUUCUUCUUAGCAUGGGGGCGUCCCAGGUGCACAGCUAGUUUACAUUCUUGGGUCUUCCUGUGAGCUUUUGAGAAUUUCUGCCGGUAUUUGCGUGACUUCUGUGGACUCUUAGUUUUUGUUACUGAGUAUGAUUUUAUCCUCAUUGCUUUAAUAUUAAGGAGCUGUCCUAAAGCCUCAGCUGUCAGAAGGCAGAGUCAAUCCGCCAGUGUAACUCCACUGAAGGCCAAAUUAGCACCCUUAAAGGUGUUGAUCGUGUGGAAAAUAACCUGAGCAACGGUGCCUGCAGGCGUUCCCACAUCUGCACCAGCCAGCAGCAGGAACAGAAAUUUGGUGAGUAAGCCCCUCCGUCCUUCAACUUGAUCCAAACUUUGCAGGGGUGCCUCAAGAGAUUUUGUGGCUCCAAGUGUAGAACUGGCUCCUAUGGUUUCUCAGGUUACUGAAUAUCACAGAUUUCUUAUGUUCCUCUUUUCUGUUAUACACACAUCAAGCCAUUUCUCUCCAUCUAUCUAGGAAGUUAUGAGUACAAGCAAAUGGAGGUGGUAAAGAAAGCUAGAGAGAAUUGAUUGUUCAGGUUGUCUCCUGUUCCAGUAUCAUUAAAGCAAUUUUCCCCUAUAUUACUCUUCAGUGGAUUUAAUGAUGUCUGUAUUAAAUUAUCCAUUCUUGAACAGAAAUUAUUGGUAUUGCUUUAGAUUUCACAGCAUAAAUACUAUUUGCUUGCAAGCAUAAUAACGUGGUAGCUAUUUGUGAUUUAAUUACGUGCUAAGUAACCAUAUAGUGGAACCGUAAUUACAUGCUACCUCAAGCAAUGACAGGGAAACAUGGUUAUUUCUGUCUCCCAAAUCAGUGUUAGCAUA